rnacentral:pre_miRNA from 1 species
AGAAGAAAGUCAAGCUGUAGUAGCCGUGUAAAAAAAAAAACGUAGAAGGAAAUUUUUCCUUCUACGUUUUUUUUUUACAAGGCUACUACAGCUUGACUUUCUUCUUG